UACGUAGGGAGCGAGCGUUGUCCGGAAUUACUGGGUGUAAAGGGAGCGUAGGCGGGACUGCAAGUUGGGUGUCAAAUCUACCGGCUCAACCGGUAGCCGCACUCAAAACUGCAGUUCUUGAGUGAAGUAGAGGCAGGCGGAAUUCCUAGUGUAGCGGUGAAAUGCGUAGAUAUUAGGAGGAACACCAGUGGCGAAGGCGGCCUGCUGGGCUUUUACUGACGCUGAGGCUCGAAAGUGUGGGGAGCAAA
rnacentral:rRNA from 1 species